UAUAUUUUAUUCAUAAAAAAACUAAGACAUCACGUAGACAUGAUUAAAUAUUAAUCCAUGCAUUUCAAAUAUUUCGUCCUUUUUUCUAACAAACCGGCAACAAUUAUAAUUACUCAAAUAAAAUUAUGACUAAAAUUACUUAGGCUCUCCAUCAACGUAAAUCUUAGAUCAAUCACGAUAAUUAAUCAUGGAUCGUCCAUUACGUGGAUUAAAUCGGAUCGGAACACCCCGACCCGUUUCCAACCCAAAUGCAUAAACCGAUUUGAAUCUGUAUUUAUCUAAAAUUUCCCUAACAUCAAGUUGAUCCUGAUCCCACCCACCAAGGUUUGCCUUGAAUACAUCAAUGGGACCCUUGCCACGUAGGUACAGGUGUACCUCCACUUCUGGUACUUUGGUCCAUACGGAUCUAGUUUGGUUUGUUGCGUUCGAACUUGGAUUUGAAUUUCGAUUCGGGUUAGGUUUUGAAUUUGAUCGGAGUCGAUUCGUUGGAGGGUAAUUCGUUGAUCUCCACCAUUUUUAUUGGUGGUGAAGGCAAAGAAAGAGGAAAGGCGAAGGGAGAGGUCAAGAAAUGUGGAAUGUUGAGAUUGUUUAAAAGAUUUGAGGGAUUGAUGACGUAGCAACUUUGUG
rnacentral:lncRNA from 1 species